rnacentral:tRNA from 1 species
AAAGAUUUAGUUAAUUUAUAACAUUAGUUUGUCAAACUAAAAUAAUUAUUUCCAAUAAUAAUUUUUA